rnacentral:SRP_RNA from 1 species
ACCGGGUGCGGUGGCAUGUGCCUGUAAUCCAAGUCACUGGGAGGCUGAGGUUGGUGGAUCAAGUGAGCUGAGGAGCUCUGGGCUGCAGCACGCUAUGUCGAACGGGUGUCCACGCUAAGUUCGGUAUCGAUAUGGUGUUCCUGGGGGAGCCUGGGACCACCAGGUUGUCUAAGGAGGGGUGAAACCGGCCCAGGUCGGAAACGAAGCAGGUCAAAUCCCCCGUGCUGUCCAGUAGUGGGAUAAUACCUGUGAGUAGAUGCUGCAGUGCAGCCUUGGCAAAACAUCGAGACCUAAUCUUUU